CCCUACUGCUAUCGGGGUGGGACUAAGACAUGCGAGUUGUGCGUCUCUAAGCUAUGGUAGAGACGCAGCGUACGGCUCAGUAACACGUGGCUAACCUACCCUUAGGACGGGGACAACCCCGGGAAACUGGGGCUAAUACCCGAUAGGUGUGGAUUCCUGGAAUGGUGCCAUGCCUAAACGUAAGCACAUCCAUGUUUGUGUGCACGCCCGAGGAUGGGGCUGCGGCCGAUCAGGCAGUUGGUGAGGUAACGGCUCACCAAACCUUUGACCGGUACGGGCCAUGAGAGUGGUAGCCCGGAGAUGGGCACUGAGACAAGGGCCCAGGCCCUACGGGGCGCAGCAGGCGCGAAACCUCCACAAUUCACGCAAGUGAGAUGGGGUUACCUCGAGUGCCAUCUGAAGAAGGUGGCUUUUCCAUGGUGUAAUGAGCCGUGGGAAUAAGGGGGGGGCAAGACUGGUGUCAGCCGCCGCGGUAACACCAGCCCCCCGAGUGGUGGGGAUGUUUAUUUGGCCUAAAACGUCCGUAGCCAGUUCGGUAAAUCUCUCGUUAAAUCCAGCGUCCUAAGCGUUGGGCUGCGAGAAAGACUGCCGAACUAGAGGGUGGGAGAGGUCAGCGGUAUUUCUGGGGUAGGGGCGAAAUCCAUUGAUCCCAGGAGGACCACCAGUGGCGAAGGCUGCUGACUAGAACACGCCUGACGGUGAGGGACGAAAGCUGGGGUAGCGAAUCGGAUUAGAUACCCGAGUAGUCCCAGCCGUAAACGAUGCAGGCUAGGUGUUGGGUUGGCCACGCGCUGACUCAGUGCCACAGGGAAGCCAUUAAGCCUGCUGCCUGGGGAGUACGGUCGCAAGGCUGAAACUUAAAGGAAUUGGCGGGAGAGCACCACCAGGCGUGAAGCCUGCGGUUU
rnacentral:rRNA from 1 species